rnacentral:rRNA from 1 species
GAUGAACGCUGGCGGCGUGCCUAAUACAUGCAAGUCGAGCGAAUGGAUUAAGAGCUUGCUCUUAUGAAGUUAGCGGCGGACGGGUGAGUAACACGUGGGUAACCUGCCCAUAAGACUGGGAUAACUCCGGGAAACCGGGGCUAAUACCGGAUAACAUUUUGAACCGCAUGGUUCGAAAUUGAAAGGCGGCUUCGGCUGUCACUUAUGGAUGGACCCGCGUCGCAUUAGCUAGUUGGUGAGGUAACGGCUCACCAAGGCAACGAUGCGUAGCCGACCUGAGAGGGUGAUCGGCCACACUGGGAAUGAGACACGGCCCGGACUCCGACGGGAGGCAGCAGUAUGGAAGCUUCCGCAAUGGACGAAAGUCUGACGGAGCAGCGCCGCGUGAGUGAUGAAGGCUUUCGGGUCGUAAAACUCUGUUGUUAGGGAAGAACAAGUGCUAGUUGAAUAAGCUGGCACCUUGACGGUACCUAACCAGAAAGCCACGGCUAACUACGUGCCAGCAGCCGCUGUAA